GAGGUCACAAGCUCUGGUGCCCCAAAAUGGCUCUGGUCCUCAGAUAUAGUUGGUUGCCACCCUGGGAGUGAGAGGAACCAGGAAAGCAGCACCCAGGAAGGCAGGGGGCUCCCUUUAUCCAAGGAGGUGGCUGUGCAGGUGGCCACCACAGGUGGCAGGAACCACAGGCUGGGGCACUCCGGAGUCAGGAGUGAGUGGGCAGGUUGACUGGCAUCAGGCAGCCUCUCAGCCAGGGCCCUCUCCGCAUCAGCAUGAACUCCAGGACCGCAUCUGCUAGGGGCUGGUUCAGCAGCCGCCCACCCACCUCUGAGUCUGACCUGGAACCUGCCACAGAUGGGCCAGCCUCCGAGACCACUACCCUCAGCCCAGAGGCCACCACCUUUAAUGACACCAGAAUCCCUGAUGCAGCUGGUGGCACGGCCGGCGUGGGUACCAUGCUUCUGUCCUUUGGGAUCAUCACGGUGAUAGGCCUGGCUGUGGCCUUGGUGAGAGCUGGGGUAGGCUGGGGGAGGAUAAUCAGUGUUUAGAUUUAUAGAGAACCUAAUCAAUCAGAAGACAAUCUGGUUGUUGUUAUUGUUGUUUUUGAGACAGAGUCUUGCUCUGUCAUGCAGGCUGGAGUGCAAUGGCUUGAUCUCAGCUCACUGCAACCUCCACCUCUGGGGCUUAAUCGAGUCUCCUGCCUCAGCCUCCCAAGUAGCUGGGAUUACAGGUGUGAGCUGCCACGCCCGGCUAAUUUUUGUAUUUUUAGUAGAGAUGGGGUUUCGCUAUGUUAGCCAGGCUGGUCUUGAACUCCUGGCCUCAAGUGAUCUGCCCCCGUUGGCCUCCCAAAGUGCUGGGAUUACAGACAUGAGCCUCUGUGCCCGCCAACAAUCUAUUAAUGAGAGUGCAGUCCUCCUCUCCUGCAGAGAUUUGUCCACUGGGGCCCAGAGACCAGAGAGGCUACGCUUCCAACUGGAAACAACAGAAAAGGUUCUUGGGAAUACAUGGUGUCUUGAGCUGGGUCAUGAAGGCCACAUAGUAGUCAAGGAGUUCCAAGUGGAGAGUCCUGAUGGGCAAAAGUUUGGAGGCAGACAGAGGGUUCUGUGAGCAGCCAGCAGGACAGUUAGGGCAGUGGAUGUGGGGUUGCAAUAGAAGAAAAGGCUUAAAGGUGGUUGAUGUGGACCGUGGGCUGCAGAGUCUGGGUAAGAUGAUCUGUGCAUGGGAGGCUGUUGGCAGUGAACAUUCAUUUAUUCACUUGGCAAUUAUUUACUGAGUACCUGCCCUGGACCAGGCCUUUGGAACCCAAUAGAGGCUGGGAAGACAAGGUCCUGCCCUGUGGUUCUUACAGGGAGUGGGAAACAGAUAAAAACCAAGGGUUCCAAGGGAAGCCUGCAGGGACUGACUUGGGGACUCAAGCAGGAAAGCAGGAAUGCUUUCCAGACUAGGUGGUUAGGAACAGCUGAGGAGCAAAAUUAGAGCUGAGACCUCAAAGUGGAAGCCUGGCCUCCGUGUCAUGAGAAGGGGUGGAGGUGGCAGCCAUCAGGAAGGAAGGGGGCUGGGGAGAGGGCUGCAGGUAUCCUUCAGUAGUGAGUGUGAUGCCUCUUGAUCUGGUGUCAGUCCCUAAGGAUAUGGGCUGUCCCCCUAAGAUGAUACAUGGACACUCAGAAUGUCACUGAGGGACCACUGGAGAUCGUGCAGGCUGAGACUAGGGAGGAUGGGGUGCCCCUGAGGUUCCCCAGUAUGCCUGGCAAUGGUAGGAUUCUGCCCACUGCUCCUCGCAGGCUCUGAUGGCUGGCCUUGGGCUUAGGAGCAUGUUGCUCUGACAAGUAGGGCUGUGGAUGGCCCAUCAUGGCCUGGUUGGAGCUGCUGUUAAACCAGGGUUGCCAUAUGGGCCCCACAGGCUCCAGAUUGCUGCCAGGGAGCAACUGCCAGCCAGCAAGCAGGCCCAGGGUGCAGCACAGGCAGAAUGAGGCCAGGGCCUGAGAGGUCUCCUGGGUGGAGGUAAGGCAGGAUGCCAGUGUUUUCCCUUGGCACCCAUGCAGUGGGUAAGCAGAUGGAGGCACCCUUAAGGGCAGAAUGGGGCCUAGAAACUGCCCUCGUUACUUUCAGUGAAAGGUUUUGUCCUUGGAACUUGAGAACGCUCUCUUACUCUUUGUUCUAGAGGAACAUUCAGAAGGCCUGGGUGGAUGCCCCUCUUGCCAAAAUCAGAGGUUUUGUACAUCAGGAAGAAGAAGAGGCUGGAGAAGCUACGCCACCAGCUCAUGCCCAUGUACAACUUCGACCCCACGGAGGAACAAGAUGAGUUGGAGCAGGAGCUGCUGGAGCAUGGGCGGGACGCCGCCUCUGUACAGGCUGCUACUUCUGUGCAGGCCAUGCAGGGCAAGACUACUCUGCCCUCCCAGGGCCCACUGCAGAGACCCAGCCGGCUGGUGUUUACCGAUGUGGCCAAUGCCAUCCAUGCGUGAGUGGCCUGGGACAAGCCUGGACUUCUGAUAGAGACCCAUCACGGUGCCUACAGAGCUCCCCACUCCCUGAUUGUCAAGACCUACUCUGAAGAUCUUCCCUGCCAAGACACAAGAGGGCUGAGCCAGGUCCUA
rnacentral:lncRNA from 10 species